rnacentral:rRNA from 1 species
GACGAACGCUGGCGGCGUGCUUAACACAUGCAAGUCGAACGGUAAGGCCCUUCGGGGUACACGAGUGGCGAACGGGUGAGUAACACGUGGGUGAUCUGCCCUGCAUUUAGGGAUAAGCCUGGGAAACUGGGUCUAAUACCGGAUAGGACCACUGCCUGCAUGUGUGGUGGUGGCAAGCUUUUGCGGUGUGGGAUGGGCCCGCGGCCUAUCAGCUUGUUGGUGGGGUGAUGGCCUACCAAGGCGACGACGGGUAGCCGGCCUGAGAGGGGUGACCGGCCACACUGGGACUGAGAUACGGCCCAGACUCCUACGGGAGGCAGCAGUGGGGAAUAUUGCACAAUGGGCGCAAGCCUGAUGCAGCGACGCCGCGUGAGGGAUGACGGCCUUCGGGUUGUAAACCUCUUUCAGCACCGACGAAGCGCAAGUGACGGUAGGUGCAGAAGAAGGACCGGCCAACUACGUGCCAGCAGCCGCCGCGG